AUCUAAAAGAACAAAAAAGAGAGAGAGAGAGAAAAGUAAAUUAAUCAACAAACUUUAAGGUAAAAGAAAACUGAAUCAAUUUAGUUAACCAAACAGCAACCACAACGAAAGCAAAACAAAACUGAUCGCCUUAGGGGAGUCUCGAUUAUCCCACAAGGGGGCAGAUUAAUCUCUUUGGUAAUUGUUUGAAAUGAAUUAGUUUUAUUGAUUAUUUUCUAUUUUGUCUAAACAAUUAAAUUAAAUUUUCUAAUCAGAUCAAUUAAAUGGUUCACUUAAACUUCAAUCGUGUAUUUGUUGUCUCAGUCUAAGCUUUUUGGAUGGAUACGUUUACCUAGUCGCUGAAUUUUAAAUUUGGCAAAUCAGGAUUAAAAAUGACGAUUAAAUAAAUUAUCGCUGCCGCUGUAAGGUCAUUUCUCCAUCGGUCAGGAUACGUUUGGAUAAUAUUGACAAUAUUAUCAUGUAGAAUUGGAUCCAAUCGGUAAAUUUCCCUCCUAUCAACUUUUUUACCUGAGGCCUUAAAUAUUGUCAAGAAACAAAAGAACUUGUUAACUAAUUGGCCUAAGAGUUACAAAGGAAAAUAGAAAUGAAAAUAAAUGUUAACACUCACGUUCCAACUAUCGGUUAGAUGAUCGUAGGUGAUGAUACUCUUCAUGGCGAUUGUAUCAAAAAAGACAUUG